CCCCCGAGGCUGCUGCGCCAGAGGGAAGUUGUCAUGUUUGUUGGCAGCGUAGGGAUUGAUGGAGCACAAUGCUGACAGUCACCUUCCUCAUCUUCAGUCUCCUUGAGUCACGUGGAACAAGGUAUCCUUGACACAACAUAAAUGACAAGGUAUCGUGUAGUAUCAACCAGUAGCAGCCAGAGAGGUGAGUGGUGAGUCAAAAUCUCUUUUUACUAUUCCAGAUUCACUGCUGCUUCAGUCCCCUUAAUUUCUUUCCUCAGUUUCUGAAGCUUGUGGUCCAGAAGAGUUUCACUUCUUUUGUUUGCUGGUGGAGGACCUAAGUGCUCGGGAAUUAGCUCUGAGGCAAUACCUGAACAUGAGUUCUACUUCCCACAGUACACCUAGAAUAGUCAAGGGAUCUCCAAGUGUAGCAAGGACUCUGGACAAUUCUCUCCCACCUUCCAUUAGCAUUUCCUGAUGUGGUUCUAGAACAUCUAGCCUCAAACCAGCUGCAGCCAUAUCCUCAACUUUUUCAACACUGCUGCAGUGCAAGAAGCAUUUUCUCCUGUUGUAUCAGGUAUAUGCAUCUUUAACUCCUUAACACUCUGUAAGCCAAUGUAGAGCUUUCCCUGGUGAAAUCAUCCCAGAGAUCUUUGGAAAAUCAGUGAAUAAGGAUUAAAACAAAAAGGCAUUCAUUCAGAUGUUCUGUUCAGGACUGGAUUCAUGUAGAUGGUAAU
rnacentral:lncRNA from 1 species